rnacentral:lncRNA from 1 species
CAGAACAUUCCUUAAUGCCCCACUGGACUCUAACAUCAGUACCAGCUACCCCUUUCCUUAUCUGUUGACAGUCACUUGACCACUAUGCAGACUACCUAUGUCUGACAUCCUUUGCUUUUGUUAGCAUCCAAGGCUCCAAGCCUUAGAUAAUGAUGCUAUAGCCCCAGUGACCUAAACCUCCAGAGAGCUACUAUUGUUGAAGCCACCCACGUUUGGUGAUCGAUUUUUGCUCUGUGCUCCCUCACACUGGUUUCCUACCAGGGUUGAUGCUACUUCACACUGAAAGAGCUACUGAGUAUUUUUCAUGAAAAGAUCCCCCAUGGGACAGUGACAGUGUCCACUUUACUUUGUUUAACCAAAGUCUUAAAAGCACUCAGUAGGAGAAGUGGAUCAAAGUGAAUUUUGAAAAUCCUCCUCCCAGCUGACCUGUGCUACACUGGUCUGAACAAAUUCUUGUGUCUGGAAAGCAGCCAAUAAGGGCUUGGCUGCUUCCCCUUGUGAAUUACCUCUCACAGUAGCUAAACUGUCAAGCAAACCAGUCUAGAACUUCUGAAACCAUCAGGAAGGGCAAGUGUGACAGGAGCUGGUGUCUGAGAACUCAUCACUGAUGUUUUUCAGCCAAGGGUUUCUUGAUUAAUGGUUUUGUAAAACAUUAGUCAGAGAUAGAAAAACAAAUGAAUGUGUUUUUCUUUGCAUCCUGAAUGCUUACCGACUAUCGUGUGUAACACAUUGUUAUCUUGGCAUCUGGCAGUGUCUCCUUUUUACCCAGCCUUGUUGAACUAUGGGGAGAAAUUCAACAACCCAAUCUCAGGAAAAAAUUGUGAUGAAGUGUGCGUCAUGCCACAGGUCUUGAGGAAGGAUCACAUACUUGAUGGUCAUCAUCUGCCUGAGUGCUUGAGAAGAGUGACAACUAGUCUGGAGGCCAUGAGAUGUUUCAAUGGAUAACAGUGCUUCUCUGUGGAAGCUGAAUGACAUGAAUUAGUGCCCCAGUAUCCAUGUAAAAAGUCAAAUUCAGCAGCAUGCAUCUGUAAUCCCAAGAUUCCUGCAGCAGGAUAAGAAGCCAAGACAAGUAAAUCGUGUGGAAGCUUGUGAAACAGCUAGCCUAAUUACAACAUCAUGGAAACAAGAUACCCUGCACCAACAAGUCGAGAGGAAAGGACUGA